GAAGGCCUACGGGGCGCAGCAGUGGGGGAUAUUGCACAAUGGGGGAAACCCUGAUGCAGCGACGCCGCGUGUGGGAAGACGGUCCUCUGGAUUGUAAACCACUGUCCCCAGGGACGAAGAUGACGGUACCUGGGGAGGAAGCUCCGGCUAACUACGUGCCAGCAGCCGCGGGAAUACGUAGGGAGCAAGCGUUGUCCGGAAUUACUGGGUGUAAAGGGAGCGUAGGCGGGAUGGCAAGUUGGGCGUUAAAUCUACCGGCUCAA
rnacentral:rRNA from 1 species